ACGGUAUAUGAAUUACUAUAAAUUAUAUUAACUGUGCAGUCUAAUAAUAUUUUUAUUUUACAUUAGGUAAUUUAUGCAAGUGUACUGGUUACAGGCCAAUCUUGGAUGGGUUUAGGUCAUUCUGUAAAGAUUGUAGUUGCUCAGAAAAACAAGAAGAACUUAAGAAUUAUGGCAAUAAAAGAUUCAUUAUUGAACCAUCACAAGAAGUUAUAUUUCCUCCAGAAUUAAAAUUACAACAUUCAGCAAUGACCUCACUGCUUAUACAAGGAUCAAGAACAAAGUGGUAUCGUCCUAUAACAUUGAAUGAGCUCCUUACAAUAAGAGAGCAGUUUCCUGCCAAUUCAGAUAACAUGAUUGUUGCUGGAAAUGUUGGAAUUGAUUGUGACAAACUAGCCAAACCUUCUAUUUUAAUAGCAGUUAGUUGUGUGAAUGAGUUGCAAGUAUUAGAAAUUAAUGAGAAAGGUCUACUAGUUGGAGCAGCUGUCACUAUAGGACGUCUUGAAGAGAAACUAAUGAAAAUCAUGGAGUCUUUACCUGAGUGAAAGACCAAAUAAUUUAAAGCACUUUUAGAUAUGCUGCAUUGGUUUGCAAGCCCUGAAAUCAAAAACAUUGCUACAAUAGGGGGAAAUAUUGUGAAUGGUACUCCUGAUUCUGAUCUUAUACCAGUAUUAAUUGUCACUGGUACUAUUCUUAAUUUUGCUUCAAAAGGUUUUGCAAACUGAUAUAUUAAUAGAUGUUGGGGACAGCUUGAAUCCAGCUAUUGAUAUUGGGCAAAUUGAAGAUGCAUUUAUUCAGGGAUUGGUUUGUUUGAUGGAAAUCUUUAUACUGACAGUCCUACUACAUAUAAAAUACCAGGCUGUAGUGAUAUACCUAUUCAGAUGAAUGUUACACUUUUGGAUAAUUGUCCUAAUAAGAAGGCAAUAUUCUCAUCUAAAGCUAUUGGUGAACCUCCAUUGUUCCUGGCAUCUUCAGUGUUUUUUGCUAUCAGAGAUACUGUCAAGAGUGCUAGAGAAGAAAAAGGAGUUGCUGGAUACUUUGAAUUUUUAGUCCAGCCUCAACUGAGAGAAUAAGAUUGGCUUGUGAAGACCAGCUCAAUAGUUUGAGCAGACAUUUUGUGUCAAUUUAUAAUUAUUUUAAGUUAUUUUUCAUGGUUAAUGAGCUAUUAAAA